AUUCCUAAUGCAAGAAAUUGUAUAUGGCUAAUGAAGUGAUCUUAUCUUAUCUUAGAGUAUGCGACGCAGUUGGACUCCAUUGAACCUGCGACCCCCUUCUGCCCGAGACAGGGGUCAGAGGUCACUGCCCAUUAUGCAGUGGAUGAUUUUCCAGUGGGGAUCCCGCAGGUUGGGUAACAGGACAAUACCUCAUAACAUCCCAGCCAGUCUACCACCAGAUCCACGCAGCAGACAACUGCGCACAGACUGUUUCAAAGACUGAAGUUCAGCGGUGCUAACUUCUGGCAGGGCUGCGCAGAAACGCUAGGCACUGCUCUCCUCCCGUCUUUCUGCACUGGGAGACUCCCGGGACACAGAGAAAGCAGCUGCCAAGCACCGUCUUCUCAGUGGGAAGUCUGAACUCAUCUAGGAUGUUUGGCCAACGGAACUUUGAGUAGAAAACUUCUUUAUUCUCAUUAUAAUCCUCGUUGAGUUGAACUAUUAUUCCCAACAGGUUUGAUUGUUUAAUUCACGCUUGCAAAAACAGAAGCGUGAUUUAACUAUAUGAGACUGAUAAAACUAAUAUGUUACAGUUAUAUUAAACUCUGAAGCUACUAACUCUGAAUGAUCAGCCUUUCAUAUCACAGAAGAUCGUUUCACAAGUUUCCUCUUAAACAUAAGAAGUUUGUUGUUUGUUAUGCAUGUUUUGGUUUAAUAUCAAUAAAUUGUAUGUAGUACAGUAUAUUUAGACUCUAUGUUCAAGACUGUAAAAUUUUAUUUCCUAAGUCAUCAAAGCACUCUCGCAAUUUAUUGUUCCAAUUUCUAAUUGUUACAGUAAAAUAAAACAUUUUGCAUCGUUACAAUAUUUACCAUUGAACUUUAUUUCCAUGAUUUAAAAAACAAAGCUAGUAAAGCAAUAGUUCAUAGUAUAUAGUAAAAACAUAAUAUUAAAUUCUCUUAUGGCUCCCUAAUGGUUUUAGUUCAAAUAAAACUAUAAAAGAUAUAUGUGUGAAUGGUACACAAAUGCCUAUCACUGCAUGUGAGCAAAGAGUUAGGGGUGUCUGUUGAUGUGGCAUCACCUUUUGACUGCUGCUAGGCUGUGACGCACCAUCAAAAUCGGUGAAAGAGCUCAGGAAA